rnacentral:rRNA from 1 species
AGAGUUUGAUCCUGGCUCAGGAUGAACGCUGGCGGCGUGCUUAACACAUGCAAGUCGAACGAUCCUUCGGGAUAGUGGCGGACGGGUGAGUAACGCGUGGGAAUCUGCCCUCAGGAGGGGGAUAACGGCUGGAAACGGCCGCUAAUACCCCAUAUGCCGAGAGGUGAAAUGAAUUUCGCCUGAGGAUGAGCCCGCGUCUGAUUAGCUAGUUGGUGGGGUAAAGGCCUACCAAGGCAACGAUCAGUAGCUGGUCUGAGAGGAUGAUCAGCCACACUGGGACUGAGACACGGCCCAGACUCCUACGGGAGGCAGCAGUGGGGAAUUUUCCGCAAUGGGCGAAAGCCUGACGGAGCAACGCCGCGUGAGGGAAAGGCCUCUGGGCUGUAAACCUCUUUUCUCAAGGAAGAAGACCUGACGGUACUUGAGGAAUAAGCCACGGCUAAUUCCUGCCAGCAGCCGCGGUAAUACGGGUGUGGCAAGCGUUAUCCGGAAUUAUUGGGCGUAAAGCGUCCGCAGGCGGCCUUGUAAGUCUGUUGUUAAAGCGUGGAGCUCAACUCCAUUUAAGCAAUGGAAACUACAAGGCUGGAGUGUGGUAGGGGCAGAGGGAAUUCCCGGUGUAGCGGUGAAAUGCGUAGAUAUCGGGAAGAACACCAGUGGCGAAGGCGCUCUGCUGGGCCAUAACUGACGCUCAUGGACGAAAGCCAGGGGAGCGAAAGGGAUUAGAUACCCCUGUAGUCCUGGCCGUAAACGAUGAACACUAGGUGUCGGGGGAAUCGACCCCCUCGGUGUCGUAGCCAACGCGUUAAGUGUUCCGCCUGGGGAGUACGCACGCAAGUGUGAAACUCAAAGGAAUUGACGGGGGCCCGCACAAGCGGUGGAGUAUGUGGUUUAAUUCGAUGCAACGCGAAGAACCUUACCAGGGUUUGACAUCCUGCGAACCCCUGAGAAAUCGGGGGGUGCCUUCGGGAGCGCAGAGACAGGUGGUGCAUGGCUGUCGUCAGCUCGUGUCGUGAGAUGUUGGGUUAAGUCCCGCAACGAGCGCAACCCACGUCUUUAGUUGCCAGCAUUCAGUUGGGCACUCUAGAGAGACCGCCGGUGAUAAACCGGAGGAAGGUGUGGAUGACGUCAAGUCAUCAUGCCCCUUACAUCCUGGGCUACACACGUACUACAAUGCUACGGACAAAGGGCAGCAAGCUCGCGAGAGUUAGCAAAUCCCAUAAACCGUGGCUCAGUUCAGAUCGUAGGCUGCAACUCGCCUACGUGAAGGAGGAAUCGCUAGUAAUCGCAGGUCAGCAUACUGCGGUGAAUACGUUCCCGGGCCUUGUAC